UACGGAGGGGGCCAGCGUUGUUCGGAAUUACUGGGCGUAAAGGGCGCGUAGGCGGCUUGGUAAGUCGGUGGUGAAAUCCCGUGGCUCAACUGCGGAACUGCCAUCGAUACUGCCGGGCUUGAAUCCGGGAGAGGUCGGCGGAAUUACUGGUGUAGCGGUGAAAUGCGUAGAUAUCAGUAGGAACACCGAUGGCGAAGGCAGCUGGCUGGACCGGAAUUGACGCUGAGGCGCGAAAGCUAGGGGAGCAAACAGG
rnacentral:rRNA from 1 species